AAGCAUUUGUUGCUGUAGCCUUGGUGACCUAUUCAAUGAAAACAAGGCUGGUUGCUAUAGGAAUAGCAAAGUGGGUGCAGUAUAUUUUGAAAGGUAAGAAACAAAACUAUAAGCUUAGGGUGGUGGUGGCAGCAAUCUUUGAAGAUGGAGGAAGACAAAUAUUUAUGAGCAUGAAGACAUUGAGCAUGAAUCAUGGAAGAAACUUGACUUUUCUUCCCUUGCAUGUUACGUAUGGAAUGCAUGGCUUGUGCAUGAAACCAUUUGCCUAUAUAAAGGCAUGAAAGCUUGCAGCAAAAGAACCCAAGACAGAGUCACAAACAAAAUAGAGAGAGUUUGUGAUAGUUGUUGUGUGAUCCUCACUUGAGUGAUUAGUGAGAAGAAAAUUCCUCUUGAGAGAGAGAGGUGUGUUACCAUUUUAGUUAGUCUAGAGUGAGUGUUUCUUGUAAUCCUAUUAUUUAGUAUAGUGGAAGAAAAUACUACUGCUGCCCCGAGGACGUAGGCAUAUUGCUGAACCUCGUUAAAUAUUGUGUCUUCUUUUUGUUGCUAUUUCUGCAAAUCACACGAGGGGUGAGAAAGUCAGAUCCUAGGAUAACUAAUUAUCCGUCGGCCUUGUAUUAGGCAGCCACUUCUUUCCCAACAAGUGGUAUCAGAGCCCGGCGCUCAUCGUCCGUGGCAUCUCGUGGUGAUCAAGAUGGCGGAGCCGUCGUCAUUGUCAGCAACAAUGGUGAAGUUGACAUCGUCAAAUUACUCCAUUUGGAAGCCCAGAAUGGAAGACAUCCUUUACUGCAAGGAUAUGUACGAGCCUCUUCAAAAUGGUGGAGAGAAGCCAGCACGUAAGUCCGACAUGGAAUGGAGCAUCCUGAACAGAAAAGCUGUUGCAAAAAUUCGUCAAUGGAUUGAUGAAAGUGUUUUUCAUCAUGUUGCACAAGAAACCAAUGCCUACUCGAUGUGGACCAAGUUGGAGUCCAUGUACGAGCACAAGACCGCACAAAACAAAGCCUCGUUCAUUCGGCGGUUGGUGAACACGAAGUACAGGGAUGGUCGAAGUGUUUCAGAACACUUGAGUGACUUCCAAGGCAUAGUGAAUCAGUUGACGAAUAUGAAGAUGGUGCUUGAUGAUGAGUUGCAAGCAUUAUUGUUACUAAGCUCGUUGCCAGACAGCUGGGACAAGUUGGUGGUGUCAUUAAGCAACUCAGCUCCUCAAGGCGUUCUCACACUGAAUACUGUAAAAGACAGCAUGUUUAAUGAAGAAGCAAGGAGGAAGGAGCAAGGAAUAUCGACCGAGUCGGAAGCCCUCGUCACCGAUAAUCGUGGAAGCAGUCGAAAGUUCCACAACUGAGGCAAAGCAAAGGACUGGUCAAGGGGCAAGUCCAGCCCAAAGAAGAACAUCAGAUGUUAUCAUUGUGGCAAUAAAGGUCACAUGAGGAAUGAGUGCAGAAGGCUCAAGGAAGAGCAAGCCGAGAAAGGUGGUGCCAAAGAUACAGCCGCUACUACCUCAUAUGGAGACGAGGUAAUCAUCAUUUGUGGAGAUGGUCAUGUUAAUUUGACAUCUCAAGAUACAUGUUGGGUCUUCGAUUCCGACGCAUUGUUUCAUGUAACCUCACGAAGAAAGUUCUUCACAUCCUACAAUAUCGGAAAUUUCGGUAAUGUUAGAAUGCGAAAUGAUAAGCUGUCCAAGAUCGUGGAAAGAGGAGAUAUUUCCCUUGAAACCAACACAGGCCGUUGCCUGGUUCUCAAGGAUGUGAGACAUGUUCUAGACAUGCGUCUCAAUUUGAUCUCCACUGGGUUGCUUGAUGAUGAAGGCUACACAAAUGUCUUUGGUGGUGGAAAGUGGAAGCUCAGUUAUGGUCCAGAAAUUCUAGCUCGAGAAGAAGGAGAACACUCUCUACAUGACAUAUGCAAAAGUCUGUAGUGGGUAUGCAAUUAGACUAGGAGCAGACUCGCCGGUGGAGCUGUGGCACAAGCGACUCGGUCAUAUCAACGAGAAGGGACUUACUAUUCUAGCCAAAAGAGAGGUACUGUCUGGUGUCAAUGUUAAAGAUAUGCCUCUAAAAUCAUGUACGCAUUGCUUGGCUGGAAAGCAACAUCGAGCUUCAUUCCAUCGUUAUCCUGCCCCAAGGAAAUCCAAUGUUUUGGAUGUUGUACAUUCUGAUGUGUGUGGUCCCAUGACCACGAGUACUCACAGAGGUGCAAGAUACUUCGUUAUCUUCAUUGAUGAUCAUUCCAGGAAGGUAUGGGCUUAUGCACUGACGACGAAAGAUCAAGUGCUGGAAGUAUUCAAGCAAUUUCAUGCUGGAGUUGAAUGGGAGACCGGCAGAACCCUGAAAUGCAUUCGCACCGAUAACGGGGGAGAGUACAUGGGGGCGUUCAGACACUAUUGCAAAAGUAACGGAAUCAGGCAUGAACGAUUUGUUCCAAAGACUCCUCAGCACAACGGAGUGGCCGAGAGGAUGAACAGAACUAUUGUUGAAAGAAUCAGAACAAUGUUAUCUCAUGCCAAGCUGCCUAAGAGCUUUUGGGGUGAAGCUCUGAUGACUGCGGUUGAUGUGAUCAACCUUUCGCCCUCAGCUCCAUUGAAUGGUGACGUGCCGAACAGGUUUUGGACCGAAAAGGAUGUCUCAUACAAUCAUCUAAAGGUAUUUGGCUGCAAAGCAUUUGUCCACAUUCCCAAAGACGAAAGAUCAAAGAUCGAUAGCAAGUCAAAAGAAUGCAUAUUCUUGGGAUAUGGAAAUGAAGAAUAUGGGUACAGGCUGUGGGAUCCUGUCAACAAGAAGAUUGUCAGAAGCACAGAUGUUGUCUUCUUCGAAGAUCAAAACAUUGAAGAUACUCAGAAGACUGAGAAGCCUAAGAAACCCAGAGAAUAUCCAGUCAACUCGGAUAAAGAUUCUCCACCAACAAAGCAGGAUGGCAGGAGAGAAACCGGAGACUCCGGUGAUGCAGCAAAUGACCCGAUGAUCAAUGACCCAGUUGGUGACACAACUGAUGAUGAGGAAGAGGCAACGACCCCACGAAGAUCAACCAGGGAAUGCAGAACCUCGAGAAGAUACCCUCCAGAUGAGUUUGUUACUCUCACAGAUGGAGGAGAACCAAAGUCUUAUGAAGAAGCUCUAACGGAUGACCACAAGGGGGAGUGGUUGGAAGCCAUGCAAGAAGAGAUGCAAUCCUUGCAUGAGAACCAGACUUAUGAGCUGGUGGAGUUACCGAAAGGUAAAAGGGCACUCAGAAACAAAUGGGUGUACAGACUGAAGACCGAGGAGAAUAACUCAUGACCUAGAUUCAAGGCAAGGCUGGUCGUUAAAGGUUUCAGUCAGAAAAAGGGAAUUGACUUUGAAGAAAUUUUCUCGCUCGUGGUGAAGAUGACAUCUAUCCGGGUGGUACUUGGUUUGGCUGCAAGUUUAAAGCUGGAGAUUGAACAGCUUGAUGUGAAGACGGCUUUCCUUCACGGUGACCUUGAAGAGGAAAUUUACAUGGAGCAGCCAGAAGGAUUCAAAGUCAAAAGCCAGGAAGAUCUAGUCUGCAAACUGAAAAAAAAGUUUGUAUGGACUAAAGCAGGCGCCGUGACAAUGGUACAAGAAGUUCUAUUCCUUCAUGAUUGAGCAAGGAUAUCGGAGGACGACCUCAGACCAUUGUGUAUUUGUGAAGAAAUUCUCAGGUGGUGACUUCAUCAUACUACUCUUGUAUGUUGAUGACAUGUUGAUCGUAGGACAAGAUGGUGACAAGAUUAGCAAAUUGAAGAAAGAGCUCAGUAAGUCUUUUGCUAUGAAAGACUUGGGACCUGCAAAGCAGAUUCUUGGUAUGAGUAUCACCUGUGACCGAGAAAGUGGAAAGCUGUGGCUAUCACAAGAAAAAUAUAUCGAGAAGGUAUUGAAGUGGUUCAAUAUGGAGAAAGCGAAUCCAGUUGCUACUCCACUUGCUAGUCACUUUAAGCUCAGCUCAAAGCAGAGUCCUGCAAGUGAGAAAGAAGAGGUAGAAAUGGCAACCGUGCCAUAUGCCUCAGCGGUAGGAAGCCUGAUGUAUGCAAUGGUGUGUACAAGACCAGACAUAACACACGCGGUUGGUGUUGUUAGCAGAUAUCUGUCAAAUCCAGGCAAAGAGCAUUGGAAUGUUGUGAAGUGGAUUCUCAAAUAUCUCAAAGGUAUUUCCAAAGUGGUUAUGUUAGGAAGCGGUAGGCCUGAACUGAUUGGCUACACAGAUGCAGAUAUGGCCGGAGAUGUUGACUCGAGAAAGUCUACAUCUGGAUACCUGAUUACAUUUUCAGGGGGAGCUGUUUCAUGGAAAUCAAAGCUACAAAAAUGUGUUGCUUUGUCAACUACAGAAGCUGAGUUCAUAGCAGCUACAGAAGCCUGCAAAGAAAUUUUGUGGAUGAAGAAAUUCCUACAGGAAUUGGGCCAUAAACAACAAAAGUAUGUUCUGCAUUGUGAUAGUCAAAGUGCAAUUCAUCUGAGUAAGAAUUCGAGUUUUCACUCGAAGUCAAAGCACAUUGAUGUGAGGUAUCACUGGAUACGUGAUGUGCUAGAAGCCAAGCAACUACAGCUUGAGAAGAUUCACACAGAUGACAACAGUUCAGAUAUGAUGACUAAGUCAUUAUCGAAGGAGAAGUUUGAGUUUUGCAGAAGUGCGUUAGGAAUGGCGCAGCCCUCCAACUAAGUCGGGAGGGGGAGAUUGAUGGGUCAGUCCCUCCUUAAUUGGAGGUUGAAAUUCAUGUGGUGUUUACUGCAUGAAGAAAGCAUUUGUUGCUGUAGCCUUGGUGACCCAUUCAAUGAAAACAAGGCUGGUUGCUAUAGGAAUAGCAAAGUGAGUGCAGUAUAUUUUGAAAGGUAAGAAACAAAGCUAUAAGCUUAGGGUGGUGGUGGCAGCAAUCUUUGAAGAUGGAGGAAGACAAACAUUUAUGAGCAUGAAGACAUUGAGCAUGAAUCAUGGAAGAAACUUGACUUUUCUUCCCUUGCAUGUUACGUAUGGAAUGCAUGGCUUGUGCAUGAAACCAUUUGCCUAUAUAAAGGCAUGAAAGCUUGCAGCAAAAGAACCCAAGGCAGAGUCACAAACAAAAUAGAGAGAGUUUGUGAUAGUUGUAGUGUGAUCCUCACUUGAGUGAUUAGUGAGAAGAAAAUUCCUCUUGAGAGAGAGAGAGGUGUGUUACCACUUUAGUUAGUCUAGAGUGAGUGUUUCUUGUAAUCCCAUUAUUUAGUAUAGUGGAAGAAAAUACUACUGCUGCCCCGAGGACGUAGGCAUAUUGCUGAACCUCGUUAAAUAUUGUGUCUUCUUUUUGUUGCUAUUUCCGUAAAUCACACGAGGAGUGGGAAAGUCAGAUCCUGGGAUAACUAAUUAUCCGUCGGCCUUGUAUUAGGCAGCCACUUCUUUCCCAACAUAAUCUACGGACAAAGACAAGUGUGCCUGCGCUAUCUAAGUUUUAACAAGGCACCUUAUGUUCCAUGCGCCCAUGCAUUUUGUUCCUAAUAUGAUCAUAGAAUAUGAAUCUCUCUUCUUUUCUAUGUGCAAGCUAGGAACCACAAGAAAUAGAGUGAUAACAUAUAUAUGCUGAGAGAUUUGCUCCAGAAAAACUGCCUUUCAGCCUAUGAAAUCCUGUUUCGUUUGCACAUUAUUUUGCUCCUCGUUUAUGAUAGGAUGACUUCCACGUUUUGUGACAUGUAUGGAUCUAUUAUUGGAGAUAGAAUUCUGGACCUCAUCUG
rnacentral:lncRNA from 1 species